UACGUAGGGUGCAAGCGUUGUCCGGAAUUAUUGGGCGUAAAGAGCUCGUAGGCGGUUUGUCGCGUCUGCUGUGAAAACUCGGGGCUUAACCCCGGGCCUGCAGUGGGUACGGGCAGACUAGAGUGCGGUAGGGGAGACUGGAAUUCCUGGUGUAGCGGUGAAAUGCGCAGAUAUCAGGAGGAACACCGGUGGCGAAGGCGGGUCUCUGGGCCGUAACUGACGCUGAGGAGCGAAAGCGUGGGGAGCGAGCAGG
rnacentral:rRNA from 1 species